CAUAAUAUUGGACGAUUUAGGUUGACAAAUUGAUAUUAUUUAGAUCCGCAAGAGUUUUUAAAAAUUCGAUACAAUUUAGUUUGUCAGGGUUUUUAGAUUCUUAGUGGAGCGAGAAAUGUAUUGGAUUUACAAUAAUGUUUAUUUUUUUUUUCUAUGGACAAAUUUUCUACCAAAGCUAUUGUUUCGAUUUACAAUAAUAUUACUUUUUUUGAAAGGAAAUCUGACUGGAGUGGUACAAUAGGAUUGUAAUCUUUUGAUUUUCCAGGAAUUUUCCCAAUAAAUGAGAAAAACGUAGGAAAAACGAGAAAGUAGAUGCAAUAUAAAACAAAUAUUCUUAAAGGAAAUAUGUGAAUGCAUAUGUAUAAUUAUUU